UGGGGAAUUUUCCGCAAUGGGCGCAAGCCUGACGGAGCAACGCCGCGUGCGGGAGGACGGCCUGUGGGUUGUAAACCGCUUUUAUCAGGGAAGAAGUUCUGACGGUACCUGAUGAAUCAGCGCCGGCUAACUCCGUGCCAGCAGCCGCGGUAAGACGGAGGGCGCUAGCGUUGUUCGGAAUCACUGGGCGUAAAGGGCGCGUAGGCGGCUGUUUAAGUCGAGGGUGAAAGCCCGGGGCUCAACCCCGGAACGGCCUUCGAGACUGGGCAGCUUGAGACCGGAAGAGGAGGGUGGAAUACCCAGUGUAGAGGUGAAAUUCGUAGAUAUUGGGUGGAACACCAGUGGCGAAAGCGGCUCUCUGGUCCGGAUCUGACGCUGAGGCGCGAAAGCGUGGGGAGCAAACAGGAUUAGAUACCCGGGUAGUCC
rnacentral:rRNA from 1 species